rnacentral:rRNA from 1 species
AUUGAACGCUGGCGGCAUGCCUUACACAUGCAAGUCGAACGGCAGCACGGGAGCAAUCCUGGUGGCGAGUGGCGAACGGGUGAGUAAAGUAUCGGAACGUGCCCAGUCGUGGGGGAUAACGUAGCGAAAGUUACGCUAAUACCGCAUACGAUCUAUGGAUGAAAGCGGGGGAUCGCAAGACCUCGCGCGAUUGGAGCGGCCGAUGUCAGAUUAGGUAGUUGGUGGGGUAAAGGCUCACCAAGCCGACGAUCUGUAGCUGGUCUGAGAGGACGACCAGCCACACGGGGACUGAGACACGGCCCAGACACCUACGGGAGGCAGCAGUGGGGAAUUUUGGACAAUGGGCGAAAGCCUGAUCCAGCCAUGCCGCGUGCAGGAUGAAGGCCUUCGGGUUGUAAACUGCUUUUGUACGGAACGAAAAGGUUUGGGCUAAUAAGCUGAGCUCAUGACGGUACCGUAAGAAUAAGCACCGGCUAACUACGUGCCAGCCGCCGCAGUAACAC